rnacentral:rRNA from 1 species
GGCGCCAGCAGUGGAGUAUGUGGUUUAUUCGAAGCAACGCGAAGAACCUUACCAGGUCUUGACAUCCUACUAACGAGAUAGAGAUAUGUUAGGUGCCCUUCGGGGAAAGUAGAGACAGGUGGUGCAUGGUUGUCGUCAGCUCGUGUCGUGAGAUGUUGGGUUAAGUCCCGCAACGAGCGCAACCCUUGCUAUUAGUUGCUACGCAAGAGCACUCUAAUAGGACUGCCGUUGACAAAACGGAGGAAGGUGGGGACGACGUCAAAUCAUCAUGCCCCUUAUGACCUGGGCUACACACGUACUACAAUGGACAUAAACAGAGGGAAGCAAAACAGUGAUGUGGAGCAAACCCCUAAAAAUGUUCUCAGUUCAGAUUGCAGGCUGCAACCCGCCUGUAUGAAGAUGGAAUUGCUAGUAAUCGCAGAUCAGCAUGCUGCGGUGAAUACGUUCCCGGGCCUUGUACACACCGCCCGU